CAAAAUUUUUAAAAUACAAAUAUUCAAAAUUACAGAUAAAAUAUUUUCCAGAAUUAAACAUUUAAAAAAUACAAUUAAACAAGAAGAAUGUUAAACAUUUUUUAAAAAUGCAAAACAAUUAAUUGAAUCAUUAAACCUUUAAAAAGACAUGACAUGGGUACUUGUAUAGCUCAACGGGUUAAGCGAGUGACCCACGUACAGGGGCUGGUCUCUGACGCAGAGGCUCAGGUUCGAAUCCCACUCCUGACCCUUUGCUGCAUGUCUUCCACCCGACUCUUUUCCCCCGUUUCCUGUUUGUCUCUCACUACGCCUAUCCAAUAAAAAGCUAAAAAAAAGGCCCACCCCCCCCAAAAAAAGACAAAACAUUUAAUUAAAAAAUUAAAUGUUUAAUUAGAAAAUUACAUCUUAAAGACAAUAAAACUUCAAAUAGGAAUUACACAGAAAAUACAAUGAAGCAUUUAAAAAGAAAAUUAAACAUUAAAAGGUGGUAAAACAUUUAAAAAGAAAAACCUUAAAGAUUUAAUCAAAACAUUAAAUAUUGGGAAAGAAAAAGAAACUCAAACAAGCCGAUAAAGCAUUUAAAAAAACAAACAUUAAAAAACAAAACAUUUGGAAAUCAAAUCAGACAUUAGAAAAGAAUAAAAGGUGAGAAAAGAGCAAAACUAAACGUUUAAGAAGAAUCAAACUAAAGACGAAACAUUUCAAAAGACACCAGUUAGACUUUAGAAGAUCAAAUUAAACAGAAGAGACAAUAAAACGAUCAAAAAGAGCAAAAACAGAUAAAGUUCUGAAAGCGUUUUCUAGUCUGAAAUGAAAACAUCAAGUUGUUUCUUCAAACAUUUCCUCUUUCUAUGUUCUUGGUUUGAUUGUGGAUAGAUUUACUAAGAACUCAUUUCAGAAAACUGCUUUCCAGAUAAAGUCUACUAGUAGUUGAAGGCAUUUAUCAAACUAAUGUUACCUUCUGAUCUCCAUAAACUUUACUGUUCAGUGAAGAGAAUCAAAGUUUGUUGAGGAUUUCUAAAAAACCUACAGGUGAAGGUCUGAGAAGAACUCAGAUGGAUGGUCUAAAUGUGAAAUCAAGACUCAUGGUCACAAGUUUUAAGGCUUCUGUUAACCAUAAAGUUCAAACUAACAGAGAACUACAGAGAAACUUUUAAAAUUUCAGUCCUCAGACUGUCUGAAGGUUCAAACUAAAAGAGAACUACUCAGGAACUUAGAAGAUUUCAGUCCUCAGACUGUCUGUCUCAAUCGUACGACGCAGUGUGUAACUGUAUUGCAGCACAGUGAGCCAGCAUACUCGUUUCCGUUUUCACGCCGUCUACAUCAACGGAAUGCACUGAAACUUUGCUCCCACUAGCUUAGCCUCGCCGUAGCAUGCAGCUCAAAGGGGCGUGUCCUAUCUACUCAUUCAUAUCUAUGAGAACAACGGUGGCUGCACAUAAGGACACCUGACGUUGAUUAGCUGCGUAAAUACCAUUAUAUACAGUCUAUGGUAAAUACGUAUGUGAAUCGCAUCAUUGGCUGCAGCAGCCAGUCACCGGUCACUCACUGACUCACACUGAAAAAUAGCACAGAAUGAAUUGUUACGUGUUUAUUUUAUUUACAAUUUAGGUUGGAUUUUUUUUUGUGCGCAGCGCAGAUUUUCUGUGCGUGGAGACUGUGUCAGCAGUGCACAAUUGCGCAUGCGCGCAGCUUAGAGGGAACAGUGCUGGAGAGUGUUUGUGAUGCUGAAGCAGUGACCAGUUUUUCUGUUUCUUCUCUGGAGAGGCACAAUGAGGGACGUCUGCAGCGACUGAGAAAGAGUCUCACCACAUCCUGACAUGAGGAAAAAGACUUUAUUGAAGACUGCAAUGAGAAAAACUAUCAGACAGCAGACGGCUGCAUUCAAGUCUGUAGCUGCUGAAUUCAUGGAUGAAUCAUCUGGCACUAGAGAAGAAGACCAUCAAACAUCCACGUCAGCUGAUGGAGGUCCAAGAGUCUCACCCAACAAACAACCUACAGAGUGAAGACCUCAAAUCUGAUUGGACGGCCUCCUAUUCAGCCACAUGUGUGAACAAAUGCCUCUAAGCUGAUUUGUUUUCUAAAAUAAAUCUAGUUUGAGUCCUAA